rnacentral:rRNA from 1 species
CUUUACUGUAACUUGAAAUUGAAAUUGGACUUUAUUUGCGCAGUAUAGGUGGGAGGCGUUGAGAAGAAUCUUGCGGGAUUUUUGGAGCCAUCAGUGAGAUACCACUCUUGUAAUGUUAGAUUUCUAACUUUGGAUCAUUAUCUGGUCAAAGAACAGUUUCAGGCGGGCAGUUUGACUGGGGCGGUCGCCUCCCAAACGGUAACGGAGGCGCACAAAGGUUUCCUCUGAACGGGUAGAAAUCGUAUCUAGAGUGUAAAGGCAUAAGGAAGCUUGACUGUGAGACCUACAAGUCGAGCAGGGACGAAAGUCGGUCUUAGUGAUCUGACGGUGCUGAGUGGAAAGGCCGUCACUCAACGGAUAAAAGUUA